rnacentral:rRNA from 1 species
GAUGAACGCUGGCGGCGUGCCUAAUACAUGCAAGUCGAGCGAACGGACGAGAAGCUUGCUUCUCUGAUGUUAGCGGCGGACGGGUGAGUAACACGUGGAUAACCUACCUAUAAGACUGGGAUAAUUUCGGGAAACCGGAGCUAAUACCGGAUAAUAUUUUGAACCGCAUGGUUCAAAAGUGAAAGACGGUCUUGCUGUCACUUAUAGAUGGAUCCGCGCUGCAUUAGCUAGUUGGUAAGGUAACGGCUUACCAAGGCAACGAUGCAUAGCCGACCUGAGAGGGUGAUCGGCCACACUGGAACUGAGACACGGUCCAGACUCCUACGGGAGGCAGCAGUAGGGAAUCUUCCGCAAAGGGCGAAAGCCGGACGGAGCAACGCCGCGUGAGUGAUGAAGGUCUUCGGAUCGUAAAACUCUGUUAUUAGGGAAGAACAUAUGUGUAAGUAACUGUGCACAUCUUGACGGUACCUAAUCAGAAAGCCACGGCUAACUACGUG